rnacentral:lncRNA from 1 species
CUGCACGACCUGUACUUCAGUCACCAGACACUCCUCCAGGCCGGCUUUGCCCGCCUCCCAGACCACCUGCAGAGACGAGAGGAGGCAGGGGUCACACUGGAAACAAGCGACGCUCGCGGACGCCCUCGAGGGCUCACCUUCUGCAGAUCACGAAGACACAGACCAGGGCCAGCAGCGUCCCCAGCGCGAUCAGCAGCGACGUCCGCCAGGCCACCUGAGUACCAGGACCGGGAGCGACUUCCGGACCUCCCAGCCCCAGUCUGGAACCCUAAGGGAGCGGAAAGACCACCAGGGAUCCCUGUCUGCCUGGUGCUCGGGACACGGGGAGCGCCAGGGACUUCCACUGUGCCCAGCAGGCCGGCAGAGACCGGGUUUCACCGUGUUAGCCGGGAUGGUCUCGAUCUCCUGACCUUGUGAUCCGCCCGCCUCGGUCUUUAUUACAAGGCCCAGGGGGUGUCUGUCAGUGGGACGACCUUGUUUCCCCUCCACGUCUCCUCUCGAUUGAGUAGCUGGAAGGAGGUUCUGUCUCUGACCUGUGGUUUGAAAGAAAAUAAAGAAGAGGGGCCAGAUACUUCAAAUUACUUCUCCUAUGCAUUUGGAGAGCGGGAGAGAAAAACACCAGGAAGGAAGAGGGAACAAAGAAACUCUACAGGCAGAGACACAGGACUGAGCCGCGUUGGGGGCACUGGGAGGAGUGAGCCUUGGGGUUGCACCCUCGGAGCCCCACUGUCCUGGGAGCAGCCUUCAGAACCACCCUUUUGUUCUCUGAAGUACCAGGCGUUCAGCUUUUCCAAGGACUGGCAGCUGCACAUCUUUGUCCCUGCCCCUUCCAUCUCUAGGCUCAGCCCCGCUGGGCAGCCUGGCCCACUCCCCACCCCUGCCCAGGGCCAACCCCUACUUCCCAUGCCCCCUCUGCCCACCUGCAGCACACUGGAGCCUUGGAGGCCCUCUCUGCAUCAUUCAAGAUGCAGACUCCUACACUUUGACCUGCACACAUCCUCCUGAAGCUUCCACUUCCUGGCCCCUGCCUGGCUUCUCACCUCCCCCACCUCCGCCCCCCAGGGGAUGUGCCGCCUCUCCCAGUGGCCCAGGACAUCCUCCACUUCCCGGGAACCCCAGGCACUUCCACAUCCUCAGACACAGUGAGAAGAUGACCCUCUCUCCAAGCCAGGAAGAGACCUCCCGAGGAGCCCAGCCAGCCAGCACGCUGACCUCCAACGUCCAGCCUCUGGAAAUGUGAGAGGCCAACGUCUGCGUUGGGAGCCACGUGGUCCCGUGGGAUCUGGCCUGGCGCUAAAGCCGUGGGGAUACCGAAGGCUGCGCUCCUGCCCCGCACCAGGAUGUGGGAACUUUGAGAACCGCUGGAGAGUCGAGAGAUGUCAUCGAAACGACACCCGAUACGUGUUCCCUGAGCAUCCGUUUUGUAGUGAAGACACUCGUACUGUUGACGCCUGCUGCGGUAAGCGGAGACAGGGCAGGGCGAUCAGGAGCAGCGUGAGCCAAAGGAGGACCAUCGGGAACGCAGCUCCGGAACGCAGGACAGAGGUGCCUGCUGCAGGAGAAACGAGAGUCAGGCAGCGGGGACUGGCUGUGAAACUGGGUUGCGGGUAAUGAAGGAUGCUUGCCCCUUCCAGAGCCUGGUGCUCACAGCAGAAGGAGCUGCUUCUGGAGGGAAAGCGGUGAACAUUGUCACGACCCCAAAAGGAGACUCCAGACCCAUUAAAGACCCGUCCUUCCUCUUCCCCAGCCUGUGGCAACCACUCAUCCACUUUCUGUCUCUGUGGAUUUGCCUGUAUCUGGACAUAGGGAAUAAAUGGAAUCAUACAGACACUAUGUAUCUUUUUGUAUCUGGCCUCUCUCAGGAAGCAUGAUGUCCUCAGCAUUCACCCACAUUGCCACCUGUGGCAGAGCCUCGUUCCUUUUCAUGGCUGUGUAAUAUUCCACCGUGUGGCUGGACCACAUUAUAUUUCUCCAUUCAUCUAUAGAUGGGUAUGAGGACUCUCUCCACCUCUUGGCUAGUGUGAAUAAAGCUGCUUAUUCCUUUUCAUGGCUGUGUAAUAUUCCACCGUGUGGCUGGACCACAUUAUAUUUCUCCAUUCAUCUAUAGAUGGGGUAUGAGGGCUGUCUCCACCUCUUGGCUAUUGUGAAUAAAGCUGCUUGUUCCUUUUCAUGGCUGUGUAAUAUUCCACUGUGUGGAUGGACAUUAUAUUUUUCCAUUCAUCUAUAGAUGGGUAUGAGGGCUGUCUCCACCUCUUGGCUAUUGUGAAUAAAGCUGCUUGUUCCUUUUCAUGGCUGUGUAAUAUUCCACUGUGUGGAUGGACAUUAUAUUUCUCCCUUCAUCUAUAGAUGGGGGUAUGAGGGCUGUCUCCACCUCUUGGCUAUUGUGAAUAAAGCUGCUUGUUCCUUUUCAUGGCUGUAUAAUAUUCCACUGUGUGUCUGGACCACAUUAUAUUUCUCCAUUCAUCUAUAGAUGGGUACGAGGGCUGUCUCCACCUCUUGGCUAUUGUGAAUAAAGCUGCUUGUUCCUUUUCAUGGCUGUAUAAUAUUCCACUGUGUGGCUGGACCACAUUAUAUUUCUCCAUUCAUCUAUAGAUGGGUAUGAGGGCUGUCUCCACCUCUUGGCUAUUGUGAAUAAAGCUGCUUGUUCCUUUUCAUGGCUGUGUAAUAUUCCACUGUGUGGCUGGACCACAUUAUAUUUAUCCAUUCGUCUAUAGAUGGGUAUGAGGGCUGUCUCCACCUCUUGGCUAUUGUGAAUAAAGCUGCUUGUUCCUUUUCAUGGCUGUGUAAUAUUCCACCGUGUGGCUGGACCACAUUAUAUUUAUCCAUUCGUCUAUAGAUGGGUAUGAGGGCUGUCUCCACCUCUUGGCUAUUGUGAAUAAAGCUGCUUGUUCCUUUUCA